rnacentral:rRNA from 1 species
UACGUAGGGUGCGAGCGUUAAUCGGAAUUACUGGGCGUAAAGCGUGCGCAGGUGGUUCGUCGUGUCCGAUGUGAAAGCCCCGGGCUCAACCUGGGAAUGGCAUUGGAAACUGGCGGACUCGAGUGUGGCAGAGGGGGGUGGAAUUCCGCGUGUAGCAGUGAAAUGCGUAGAGAUGCGGAGGAACACCGAUGGCGAAGGCAGCCCCCUGGGCUAACACUGACGCUCAGGCACGAAAGCGUGGGGAGCAAACAGG